rnacentral:rRNA from 1 species
UGGGGAAUUUUCCGCAAUGGGCGCAAGCCUGACGGAGCAAGACCGCGUGCGGGAGGACGGCCUAUUGGUUGUAAACCGCUUUUGAUAGGGAAGAAGCUCUGACGGUACCUGCAGAAGAAGCCCCGGCUAACUCCGUGCCAGCAGCCGCGGUAAUACGAAGGGGGCUAGCGUUGCUCGGAAUGACUGGGCGUAAAGGGCGCGUAGGCGGUUCACACAGGCAGGCGUGAAAUUCCUGGGCUUAACCUGGGG